GACGUAGGGGGCCAGCGUUGUUCGGAAUUACUGGGUGUAAAGGGUUCGUAGGCGGUGUGGCAAGUUGGGAGUGAAAUCUCUGGGCUUAACCCAGAGGCUGCUUCCAAAACCGCUGUGCUUGAGUGUGGGAGAGGUGCGUGGAAUUGCAGGUGUAGCGGUGAAAUGCGUAGAUAUCUGCAGGAACACCCGUGGCGAAAGCGGCGCACUGGACCACAACUGACGCUGAGGAACGAAAGCUAGGGGAG
rnacentral:rRNA from 1 species